rnacentral:rRNA from 1 species
AUUGAACGCUGGCGGCAGGCCUAACACAUGCAAGUCGAGCGGAUGAAGGGAGCUUGCUCCUGGAUUCAGCGGCGGACGGGUGAGUAAUGCCUAGGAAUCUGCCUGGUAGUGGGGGAUAACGUCCGGAAACGGGCGCUAAUACCGCAUACGUCCUGAGGGAGAAAGUGGGGGAUCUUCGGACCUCACGCUAUCAGAUGAGCCUAGGUCGGAUUAGCUAGUUGGUGAGGUAAAGGCCUACCAAGGCGACGAUCCGUAACUGGUCUGAGAGGAUGAUCAGUCACACUGGAACUGAGACACGGUCCAGACUCCUACGGGAGGCAGCAGUGGGGAAUAUUGGACAAUGGGCGAAAGCCUGAUCCAGCCAUGCCGCGUGUGUGAAGAAGGUCUUCGGAUUGUAAAGCACUUUAAGUUGGGAGGAAGGGCAGUAAGUUAAUACCUUGCUGUCUUGACGUUACCAACAGAAUAAGCACCGGCUAACUUCGUG